rnacentral:lncRNA from 1 species
ACAAAAUAUCCACCUUUUUAAGGUGUCACAACAAAACAGUAUCCACCACGACAAGAGACAAAGACAAUGCGCUACCAUAGGAUCAUACUCUCUUCAAAAUCAGCCAAACUGACUACUACACCCAGGAAGAAAGCAAAAAGAAACAUCUGACUACUACACCCAGGAAGAAAGCAAAAAGAAACAUUGUCAAUACAGAAAAAGCUAUAAAAGGAAAAGGAAGUCCCUCAUCUCACAAUCAAUUCAACCAAACUCUUUUCCAUCACUUAAGAUGUUCCAUUAUAUCCGUAAGCACCACUUCUUCACGGCAAUGCCCG